UUACGGCCAUAUCACAUUGAAACACCGAUUCUCGUUCGAUCACCGAAGUUAAGCAAAUUAAAACCUGGUCAGUACCUAGGUGGGUGACCAUUUGGGAAUACCAGGUGCUGUAA